rnacentral:rRNA from 1 species
UGGGGAAUUUUGGACAAUGGGCGCAAGCCUGAUCCAGCAAUGCCGCGUGAGUGAAGAAGGCCUUCGGGUUGUAAAGCUCUUUUGUCAGGGAAGAAACGGCUCUGGUUAAUACCUGGGGCUAAUGACGGUACCUGAAGAAUAAGCACCGGCUAACUACGUGCCAGCAGCCGCGGUAAUACGUAGGGUGCGAGCGUUAAUCGGAAUUACUGGGCGUAAAGCGUGCGCAGGCGGUUUUGUAAGUCUGACGUGAAAUCCCCGGGCUUAACCUGGGAAUUGCGUUGGAGACUGCAAGGCUGGAGUCUGGCAGAGGGGGGUAGAAUUCCACGUGUAGCAGUGAAAUGCGUAGAGAUGUGGAGGAACACCGAUGGCGAAGGCAGCCCCCUGGGUCAAGACUGACGCUCAUGCACGAAAGCGUGGGGAGCAAACAGGAUUAGAUACCCUGGUAGUCCACGCCCUAAACGAUGUCUACUAGUUGUCGGGUCUUAAUUGACUUGGUAACGCAGCUAACGCGUGAAGUAGACCGCCUGGGGAGUACGGUCGCAAGAUUA